rnacentral:misc_RNA from 1 species
GAUGAAGACGCAGCGAAAUGCGAUAAGUAGUGUGAAUUGCAGAAUUCAGUGAAUCAUCGAAUCUUUGAACGCACAUUGCGCCCCUUGGUAUCCCGAGGGGCAUGCCUGUUCGAGCGUCAUUUCACCACUCAAGCCUGGCUUGGUGUUGGGCGACGUCCCCUUUAGGGACGCGCCUCGAAACGCUCGGCGGCGUGGCACCGGCUUUAAGCGUAGCAGAAUCUUUCGCUUUGGAAGUCGGGGCCCCGCCUGCCGGAAUACCUACUCGUAAGGUUGACCUCGGAUCAGGCAGGGAUACCCGCUGAACUUAAGCAUAUCAAUAAGCGGAGGA